rnacentral:rRNA from 1 species
UACGUAGGGGGCAAGCGUUGUCCGGAAUCAUUGGGCGUAAAGAGCGUGUAGGCGGCCAGAUAAGUCCGCUGUGAAAACUCGAGGCUCAACUUCGAGCUGUCGGCGGAAACUAUCUGGCUAGAGUCCGGAAGAGGAGAGUGGAAUUCCUGGUGUAGCGGUGAAAUGCGCAGGAUAUCAGGAAGAACACCGAUGGCGAAGGCAGUUCUCUGGGACGGUACUGACGCUGAGACGCGAAAGCGUGGGAGCGAACAGG